rnacentral:rRNA from 1 species
CCUACGGGUGGCAGCAGUGGGGAAUAUUGCACAAUGGGGGAAACCCUGAUGCAGCGACGCCGCGUGAGGGAAGAAGUAUUUAGGGAUGUAAAGCUCUAUCAGCAGGGAAGAAAAAAGACGGUACCUGACUAAGAAGCCCCGGCUAACUACGUGCCAGCAGCCGCGGUAAUACGGAGGGGGCAAGCGUUAUCCGGAUUUACUGGGUGUAAAGGGAGCGUAGACGGUAUGGUAAGUCUGAAGUGAAAGCCCAGGGCUUAACCCUGGGACUGCUUUGGAAACUGUUAGCGUUGAGUGCUGGAGAGGUAAGUGGAAUUCCUAGUGUAGCGGUGAAAUGCGUAGAUAUUAGGAGGAACACCAGUGGCGAAGGCGGCUUACUGGACAGUAACUGACGUUGAGGCUCGAAAGCGUGGGGAGCAAACAGGAUUAGAUACCCUUGUAGUC